GGGGAAUUUUCCGCAAUGGGCGAAAGCCUGAUGGAGCAACGCCGCGUGAGUGAAGAAGGCCUUCGGGUUGUAAAGCUCUGUCCUUGGGGAAGAACCGUAGUGAUAGCAAAUGCUCACUACCUGACGGUACCCAUGGAGGAAGCACUGGCUAACUACGUGCCAGCAGCCGCGGUAAUACGUAGAGUGCAAGCGUUGUCCGGAAUCAUUGGGCGUAAAGGGUACGCAGGCGGAUAUGCAAGUCAAAUGUGAAAACUACCGGCUUAACUGGUAGACUGCGUUUGAAACUGUAUAUCUUGAGUGCAGCAGAGGAGAGCGGAAUUUCUAGUGUAGUGGUGGAAUACGUAGAUAUUAGAAAGAACACCAGUGGCGAAGGCGGCUCUCUGGGCUGACACUGACGCUCAGGUACGAAAGCUGGAGGAGCGAAAGGGAUUAGAUACCCCUGUAGUC
rnacentral:rRNA from 1 species